GCCAGGCAUGGUGGCACAUGCCUGUAAUCCCAGCCACUCAGGAGGCUGAGACAGGAAGAUCUCAAAUUCAAAGCCAGCUUCAGCAAAAGCAACGCAUUAAGCAACUCAGUGAGACUGUCUCUA
rnacentral:sRNA from 1 species